rnacentral:rRNA from 1 species
AUGGGGAGGAAAUUGCCCCCUUUUGCUCCGGCGGCGGGAAGGAAGCGAAAAGGUUCCACCUUGGCCCCGCUCGCCGCGUGCAAGCACAGUGCGCCGGCGCGGAAAAACGGUGGCUGGGCGUCCCUGCCCACCGACAUAGUGGGCCUCAUCACCUGCCGGCUCCUGGCCGGCGACGGCGACGGCGAUGUGGUCGAUUACAUCUGCUUCCGCGCCGUCUGCUUCGGCUGGCGCGCCUGCACGCCUGCUCCCCGCGACCCCAAUCUGCGGGAUCCGCGCCUCCGCCCGCGCGGCUGGGUCGCGCUCUGUGACGGCGACGCCGUCCGCCCGGACGACGCCUGCGAGAUCGUCUUCUUCCACACGCGCACGGCCAGGCGCCUCCGCGUCCCCUUGCCGGAGCUCCGGCGGCACAGAAUCAUUGGCUUCACCGACGGUCUCGUCAUCCUCAUGCACAAGACCACCACCGCGGUCCGCGUGCUGCACCCGUUCACGCGCGACGUGGUCGACUUCCAGCCCCUCGCUACUCUGUACCACCAGGUGGUCAGGCACAAGGGGUCCCUGCUUGACAUGAACGCCGCGGUGUGCAGCACCGCGUCCUCCGCAGACUCCAUUACCGUGGUGGUCUGGUUCCCCUACACGGACGUGGUGCUUGCUGCCGACCCGGGCUCAUCAUCAGAUUGGGAGCUAUACCCUCCGAGACGAAACGGAAACGGACCGCAAGAGAAGUCUCUGGUGGUGAUUGCUCACGUUCCACAUUCUGCUGACCGCGAAGUCUCUAAUUUUUACCUCGUGGAGUCUGGAGGAAGGAUGCUGCUCGCCGUCCGGCAGCCAGCUCCUUAUGCAAAUGGGUCAGAAUGGAAUGCAUUGGACUGGUCGCGACGAAUAGUCUGCAGGCUCUAUGCAGUGGAUCUGAACAGCCAACGAUAUAAGCCUAUCCCAGUGAAGAGCAUAGGUGACCGCGCGCUGUUUCUCAGCGGCGACCGAUGCCUGUCUCUUUCAGCCAGCGAUCUCCCUUGGGUGAGCAGCAACUCCAUUUACUCCACUCUACCACAGUACCCCAUUCUGGUGUAUUCGCCGGGGACUGGUUUGUCUGAGCGAUUGGCAGAUUCCUGCCAAAUACACGACAAGAAGGAUAGGAUCCGCCCCUCUGUGCGUCCCUUCACCAUUGUUGAUCAUCUUAUCACCUACUGCAAUCCUCGCGUGUGGAGUAAAGGGCUCAUGUUCCACGAGUACCACUAUAUACCUCAAUCUUUCGAGGAAUUGAUCAAGAAAAUAAGGGCACAAGAGAGGGAACUGCGGAUUCCACGCGCUGUGCAUUCGUGCUGA